rnacentral:misc_RNA from 1 species
GCAUGAAAAACAUUAACGUGAAAAUGUCUUAAUUAUAGAUCAUUUAUGAAAUUUCUUUAGCAUUUGCAGAAGAGUGGUGGAGGAUUUCUGGACUUGUAGCUCAUGUGGUAGCAUGUGCAGGAUGCUCAGCCAGAUUCAGACGGAUAAUAUAGGGAUAGAUGACAGAACCACAAUAUAGAUGAGUUCCAAUCUUUACCCCACUUGAAAUCAGUAUUAACCCUGGAUCAUGGUAAUGUGUAAUUAAUUUCCCAUCCAAAUUCACCACAAAUACACCAGCGUUCUUCUGUGUUCGCAAGUUUACAAUGUACUUAAAUACAAUUCUUG